rnacentral:rRNA from 1 species
CACUAUGCUUAGUCCUAAACAUUGAUUGUUUACUACAUUAAACAUCCGCCUGGGAAUUACGAACAUUAGUUUAAAACCCAAAGGACUUGGCGGUGCUUAACAUCCACCUAGAGGAGCCUGUUCUAGAACCGAUAAUCCCCGUUUAACCUCACCCCCCCUAGCUUUUUCCGCCUAUAUACCACCGUCGCCAGCUUACCCUGUGAAGGACUAAUAGUAAGCACAAUCGGCACAACCCAGAACGUCAGGUCGAGGUGUAGUGAAUGGGAGGGGAAGAAAUGGGCUACAUUCGCUGUCCGCCAGCGAACACGAACGCUGCAUUGAAACAUGCAGCUGAAGGAGGAUUUAGCAGUAAGCAGAAAGCAGAGUGUUCCGCUGAAGCCGGCUCUUAAGCGCGCACACACCGCCCGUCACCCUCCCCAAGCAACUGGACCUAAAUUUUUCUUUAAACCCUAACAAUCGCAAAGGAGAGGAAAGUCGUAA